rnacentral:lncRNA from 1 species
GCAAUACUACUCCACGACUCUAGUCUCCUCUGUUUGUGGGUGUAGGGUGCAGCAGACUGGCCUUCGUCUCUCUUCAGGUUCUCGCUUCUCCCAACACAAAGUUGCAGACCCAUUAUUCAUCGCAAACCAAUCUCUCUUCCUCUCGCUUUGAAGCUUCUUCUUCUCUGCUUCACGUUUGUUCUCUUCCCGAAGAUUCUCCGAUUCGUUUUCCAUUUCUGUCUUCAGUGUCUAGAAGUUUAUGGUUUUCUGAAUUUGAUGAUCUGCUGGAGUAACGUGAUAACAGAGCACAGCCAAACCAUUUUGAACUCUUUGCACUCAUUUUUACUGGGACUUGACUAGAGAUUGGGAGUUGAGGAGCAUGAAGAUUAAUUAUGUAGUCAGCUCCUAUCUUGAUCCCCUUACCGUUAAGGUAUACUGAUUGGGGACAUGUUCAAGGACAGUCACCAUAUGCCUCUGGUUCUCCAUC